GGACAAGAAGAUCCUUCAAUUACCUUGGUGACGGUGGUGCAGCUUAGGUUUGUCACUAAAUAUAUCUCAAACAGUAUGAUAUUUCCCCUUAAGAAGUGUUCUCCCUAGUAGCUCUAGGAGAGACAGUUUUGGCAUGUUCUAAAUUACUGUGAUCUCAUAGUGUUCACCCUUGUAAAUGAUGUGCUCUGUGAUUCAUAUUCAUAGUUUACUCUUAGAAAGUGUCUCAUGAUUUUGUUUCACAUCUUCUUGUAUUCUCGACGGGAUAUUAUAAGAAUUUACCAAAGAAGAAUGAAUUGAUGAGUUGAAUUGAUUUAAAUAAGACAUAGCAGGGAAGGUGGGCAGGGCAUCUGGCAUGGAGCUAAAAAAGUAUAUAUGUUCUCGAAGUGGAUUAAAGGUGGUUUGUUAGGGGAGAACAUCAUAUGUUGAACUUUACCAACAGAAAACCAAUGCGUACCAAGUAAAUACUCUGUAGAGUUUUCUUUGAUUCUAUAUGCUCUGAAUCAAAAUUAAAUUAUAGUGUCAAGUUUUAAUUUUGUUGAUAAACUUUGUCGAACUUUUCAAUCAAGUGAUUAUAGUAUUGUCUUGUACAUGCUUCAAACCUUGUUAUGUAAAUUUGUUCUUCUAUGGUUG